rnacentral:rRNA from 1 species
UUUACAGUAUAAGUCUUUUUUUACUUAAAAUUUUAAUUUAUAUUUUUAGUAAGAAUACUAAAAUAAAAAAAAGGGACGAUAAGACCCUGAAAGCUUAAAACGAUAAUUAUAAAAAUUUUUAUUUAGAAUUAUAGUGUUGUUAUUAGCUGGGGAAGUUUUUAUAAAAAAACUAUAAUUAAUUAAUACGUUGUUUUUAUGGUCCUUCAUAUAAGGAUAGUUAGAAAAAGUUACUUCAGGGAUAACAGCAUAAUAAUUUUGUAGAGUUCUUAUCGAUAAAAUUGAGUGUGACCUCGA